rnacentral:lncRNA from 1 species
UUCAGAUUGCAGAUUUGCCAAAGCUUCAUGUAGAGCCCUUCUCUCUUUUAUCACGAGUAAAAGUUCAGGUUUAAAAUAGAACAACGGAUGACUAAUGCCAUUUCCAGCUGUGACUGAAUUCUCCACUGCCUGAUGCUUUUCAAAUGUAUCUGAAUCAGAAUCGAACACCCACUUUAUGCAUAGCUCCCUAAUCAGGAAGUUAUUCUUCCCAUCAAAGCAACUGGAAAGAAAAAAGAUAAAACAAUGAAGGGAGGAGAAAACACAAAAGUUCAAGAAGAGCAGAAUGUUCCGGCAAGGAGAAAAAGCUGGGAAAAGUCACCAAUGAAUGCCAGGGUUCACCACUAUCUUAGGAAUAUCAUGAAUAAAGCGUUAGAUUGGGUGUGCCCUAACUGAUGGUCACAAGCAUGAUACUAAUUAUCAGGGUGAACAAAGCAGGGGAGUAAGAGCAUCAGUAACUGUGAAACUCUAGGAGUUUGUCUUCAUUCUUUCAGUGAUAGGUACUGAGUGUUUCCCAUGUGUCAUACCCUAUGCCAGGUGCUGGGGAUGCAAUGGUAAAGGAACAGACCUGGCAAUAUUCCUCAUGGAGCUUGUGGUCUAGGACUGAAUGGGUCCCGUCAAUUUCAAAUAACAGCCAUGCUUGUUAUAAAUGAUGAUAGAUUUUCUACUCAAAAGAAACGAGUGUAGUUUAUUUCCACUUCUGUGGCUUCUAGAACUUUUUCCAUAAUGUAACCCUGAAGGAGAGCAUUAUAUUCAAAUUGGGGAUGAUGUUUUAAAUUAUUUUUAGCCCCAGUCCCAUCCUAUUAGUAUAAAUGGUUGAGACUGUGGUGUUUCCAUUUCCCUAGUGUAUAUUAUGUGCUUCCUGGUGACUUUCUAAGUCAAGAACUGUAAUUGCCCAGGGAGCAUGAUUACAUUCUCAGUGCUCUACUUUAACACCCUCACUUUUUCAUACAUUCAUGAAUCAAGCCUUAAGCUCCUACUAUGUGGGGCUUUAGGGGUGAUGAAAGCAUAAUUUCAUCAGCUUAAACUCUAGUGAGGAAAACAGACCUGACAUAUGCAACAAAUUAUAAUGCCAAGUAAUAAGUUCCAAAGGCCAGAUAUCUCACUGUCACUGGAGAUGUCAUCUCAUUAGAGAUGUCUCUUUCUAAAAUGCAAAUUUCACCUUCUUCAAAUUUACAACUUUCAUGAUCAAAUUCAAAUUCCUUGACAAGGAAGUCAGGAUCUAGGCUCAGCCUCACCCUGCAGCCCUGUUUUCUGCCUAUCACAUGGGCAUCUUCUGUUCCAGCUGAACACAUGACUGCAGAUACCCCUAUACCUGUCUUUCAAGUUCACGCCUCUAUCUUCUUAAACUCAGGACUCUAUGUCUAGAAUGCACAACUAACCUAAUUCUAUGCAGCCUUCAAAACUCAGAGAAAGCAUUAUUUUCUCUACAGAAUUUCUUCUCUCCACCUCUAUCCCUUACAAUCCAUGUUAGAUAUCCCGCCUCCAUGCACAGAAGCCUCUAUCCACCUAUCACAACACUUAUCUCACUGUAUUACAAUUGUUGGUCUGCUUUUCCAUCUCCUCCAAUGGAUUGACAAUAAGCACUUUGGGGUAAGAGGCUAUGUCUUACAAAUAAAUAGAUUAGUAUUAUGGGAGUACAUAUAAUUGAUAAAAAAAUGAACGGAUAAAUAUUAUAGGAGCACAGAAGAAAAAGUCAUUAUCCUGGCUGAAAAACAGCAAGAAAGGUGAUACUCUAAUAUUAUCGAAGAAGUGGUAUUUAAACUUGUCCUUGAGGGAUGAGUAGGAAUUUUCCAGAUGAAUGCACAAUUUCCUUCUCAUUUGCACAAACAAAUUAAGAUAAUGCUAAAUUAAGUAUAUUAGAAAUUUUGAUGCAUGUAGAAGACUAGGGCUAAAAUGUAGGUAAUGGUAAGUAGUACAUUUAUUUGUAAUAUACAUGGACAUAAUGUUUUGCAUGCCUGCUUAAUUAUACCAUGUUCACUAUACAAGUCAUCUUGCUUGCCCUGAAUAAACCAGUUCUAAUUUCACUUUAUUCCUGACUAUGUAAAUCCAAUUAAAUAGCUAUUCUUUCUAGGAAUACAGCUUUCAAAUUUUAAUAGGGUUAUUUAAAAAAUAAACUAAAUUUCAUGAUAACCUGUAUACUAUAUGCAUGAG